CAACCCUCGAGCCCCCGUGGCCCGGCGUUGGGGAUCCGCCCAGGCGGUCCCCGAAAACCAGUGGCGGACCUUCCAGGCCCUUCUUUGCGUAGUAGCAUCAGCCUCGCAUCGGGAGCCGGCAGGAUUCCAGCCUCUAAACCCCCCCUAAAGUCCGCUCCGGCGGCACCAA
rnacentral:misc_RNA from 1 species